UCCAGAUUCUAAGAGAAGUACUACUAGGUUCACAUACAUGGUCGAUGCAGGGGGCUGAUUUUUAUAAAAAAGUGGAAAUACGUUUGAUUAUGGAGAAAAAUUCUGGAUAAUAAAGUGCAAGUCCUUUACAUGUACCUGUGGUGCUGAGAACUGUCGAUAUUCGGAAAAAACCAUCCAAGUUACCCUGGAUAAUUAUCGUAAAAGAACUUAGCAAGAAGAAAUUCUUGUUGCUCAAAUAUGCUAAUUGUAGCUAUACUAAACCUUAUUUAUACGAUGUUUGCCUUAUGAAAGUAAGAUUCGCAAAAACGAGAAAACAGAUAAAUGUGUGAGAAGAUGCUUAAUUUGGAGAUACGAAUGUUUUUAAAACGAUUUGAUAAAAUGUAAGAUUUAAUUGCAUAUGAGGCACAUCAUGAUUAGACUCAUUGUUAUUAUUAUAUUGUAAUAAUUAAGGGCAAAAGGUUUCACUUUAUACGAGAAUCUAUUACGCCGUGUAUAUUCAAAUGCCAAAUCACUUGUAUUACUUAUUACAUUUUUAUUGAAAGUGUUCUAGUAUUAAGUCAACUGUAAUUAUUUUAUCGCUUUUAGUUAGAAAGCCUAACAAUUUUGAUUACAAAAGGUGAGUAAUUUAUCUGUACAGUUAAAGGGUAACUUUUAAUGUUGUAAAUCAUUGUAAAUAUCGCUAGCGGUCAAAUGCUGUGGGUAAGGAAAACAUGCAGUGCUUAUAAAAUUUAACCUUACGACAUAGCUGCAGACUCUGUUUCUAGUAUAAUCGUAUCGGAUGCUUACAUCUAUUUUGGUACUAAAAUUGCUGUCUCUGAGUUUUAUUAAUUUGUUCGAUAACAAUUAUUCUGUAAACAAUGAAUCAAACCGAUUUUCGUGUGUUAAUCAAACACCGUUUUUGAUGGGUAAAAAUACUGUUCAAUAUCCUAAGAGUUUUCAAGCCAUUGCUGAGCUUGAAUGGUAUUUUUACCCAUCAAAAAAGAGUGUUUGAUUAACACACAAAACUCGUUUUGAUUAAUUGUUUACAGAAUAAAAAAAGUGGCGUCACUUAACCUUCAAUAUCUGGAAAAUGACGGAGCCAAAUGUCAUGCAAUUUUUACACUUAUCUUUUGAAGGUUGGUACUACCGAAAACAAAAGCGGCAGGGCAUUGGCGACACCAGCUAUGUGUCUGUCCCGGGACUUAAUGACCCAUGUAUUAUGUGAAUGAGAAAUAUGCGUAAAAUGUGCCAUAUUUUAUUUGUACAUUUCUGCGAAGCACGUCUUCCAUGAAUUGAUUGGUGUCCGAACAGGAUCUGAGUGAUUAACUUAUUUUUCUAUCUUUGAAUAGUAAAAUGCUUUAUUUUUGAACA